ACGAACGCUGGCGGCGUGCCUAAUACAUGCAAGUCGAACGGUCUUUCUAUGGAAGCUUGCUUCCACUGAGAAGAUAGUGGCGAACGGGUGAGUAACACGUGGGUAACCUGCCCAUAAGAGGGGGGAUAACAUCCGGAAACGGGUGCUAAUACCGCAUAGUUUUCUUGAUCGCAUGAUCGGGAAAGGAAAGACGGCCUUUGUGCUGUCGCUUAUGGAUGGACCCGCGGCGUAUUAGUUAGUUGGUGAGGUAACGGCUCACCAAGACGAUGAUACGUAGCCGACCUGAGAGGGUGAUCGGCCACAUUGGGACUGAGACACGGCCCAAACUCCUACGGGAGGCAGCAGUAGGGAAUCUUCCGCAAUGGACGAAAGUCUGACGGAGCAACGCCGCGUGAGUGAAGAAGGUUUUUUCGGAUCGUAAAACUCUGUUGUCAGAGAAGAACAAGUUGGAGAGUAACUGCUCCAGCCUUGACGGUAUCUGACCAGAAAGCCACGGCUAACUACGUGCCAGCAGCGGC
rnacentral:rRNA from 1 species